rnacentral:tRNA from 1 species
CAGAAGAAGAGACGACGAAGAUUCCGAAUGCAGGGCAUAAGGCCUAAGCAUUGUCAGAAGACAAGGAAAAGAAUAGCAGAUUCUGCGCUGCAAGCUCAGCGAGAAAGAAAAGCAAGCAAAGAAAUUUUGCGAAGAUUUUUUUUGUUAAUCGAGGCAUCGGUGCGAAAGAGUAAGGGAGCCUACGCAAGUAGGUGGCUGAACGAAAGGGUAUCGAUAACGAAGAGUAACAAAAAAAGCGAAAGAAAUUUUUGCGAAGAUUUUUUUUUUGUUAAUCGAGGCAUCGAUGGGAAAGAGUGAGGGAGCCUACGUGAGUAGGUGACCGAGCGAAAGAGUAUCGAUAACGAAGAGUAACAAAAAAAGCUGAAGCAAAAAAAGGGGUCGUAGCUCAGCUGGGAGAGCACCUGCCUUGCACGCAGGGGGUCGGGAGUUCGAUCCUCCCCGGCUCCACCAAUCAGUCGUUUCGUGGAUUGUCAAGACCAAAGUAAUUUUAGCCUUUAGGGGUUGAGAUUAUUUUUGUCUGGAAUAUCCGGAAGUUCAUUAACAAUUUGGUAAAGAAAUAGAGGUAACACAAGCGAAUUAGUAUUGUCCUUGUUGUAUAACCGAGGCCUGGAUUUUGUUUAAGGGGUUGUUUGAAGGGCCCUUUAAAGAGAAUCAUUUGGCAGCAUUAUUCCGUUAAUCGAUGCGUAUUGAGAGCGAGUAAGGGAAGAGGGUGUUGGCAAGAGGUGGUUGAGGUUAUAUGGUCAAGAAGAG